rnacentral:ncRNA from 2 species
CUCUUAUCAAGACUCGGUGGAGGGAACAAAGCUCUAUGAAGCCGGGGCAACCUGCAGUUUGAACCGCUAUUAGGUUCACGCAAAGGUGCUAACUUGAUGCAAGGCUAAUAGAAGCCUUGAACGAUGAGAG